GUGUGCGUGUGUGUGUGUGUGCGCGUGCACGGGCGUGUGUUAAUAUUUCAUGACACAGACGCGAUUGCCGAGUCGGGCGGGCGGCACGGACAGACUGCCGUUUGCUUCCAAGUAUCCCAGGGACUCUGUGGGAAUGUCGGCUGAGGGGAAGUCAUUCACGAAUGGGCUGCUGACCCGACAUCGGUGCCCGUGCUGUCCCCCAUGUGGCUCCUUCCCUUCUAAAGAGAAACCACACAUUUCACAAGAAGGCCACGUUCCAUCUGCCGGGACGCCAUUGCAAGAGCACUUACGAAACAUCCUUCCCAUAAAAAUAAAAAGGCAUUUGACCAUAAAGCAGGAGCCCGGCAAGGGUGAGUGAUGUUGAUUGUGCAUUGUCUCAAGUUCAGAUAAAGGAAAUGCAAAGCAGAGGACUUUUUCCGACAUGGACAACAUGCCUGAGAUAAAAAGCUCCAGCAGCAAAAAGAAAACCGCAAUCCGUGAAAAAGGGAGCAGCCUGACCGCUUGGCAUCGGCUUGCUCUGGUCAUGAAUAAUGCACAGGAGCAGAGCGGCUCUGCUGCGGGCUCCUGGCACGGCUCCGAGGGCCGGGGAGACAACACGGCCAGGGUCUAGGGCAGGGGCUGCAAACUUCUGUCCGGCCACCUGGUAAAGAUUUCAGGCCUUUUCGGCCCAGGAUCUCCUCUUAAUUGCUCAACUCUGGCCCCUGCAGCCGGAAAGCAGCCACUGGCCGCAGGUAAAUGGAUGGGUGGUGGCUGUGUGCCAAUAAAACUUUAUUGACAAAAACAGGCAGCGGCUGCGUUUGCAGACCCCUGGUCUAGAGCAAGCACGGAGAGAGGUGGGCUUCCUGCUGGGGACACCGUUGUUUUCCUUCACCUCUUCGUGUCUGAGGUCGACAGACCAGCUGCACUCCCAAACGCUCCUGGAAAAAGACUCCCCAUGAGAUGCGAAGGUGAACUGGGAGCCACGGUGCGUGGGUGGAUACUCUGCAAGUAAGGAGCGUGGCCUCGGCCCACCUGGUCUCUGCAGCCCUCCCCGAGAGCCAGAGCAGCCUGAGUGUUUCUGAGCAAACAGUGAUGGGGACCGAGCUGGAGAUGACCCCGGGCCCCACAGGACCUCUCCGGUCACCGCAUGAGAUGAACACACAGGCCGCUCUUCUUUCUGUGGUGAGCCUCGCGGAUCUGAAACAUGCCUGCAGCCCGUCCUUCCUGACCUCUCUCAGCGCCAGCCGGGGGCACCCUCCAGCAGAGGGGUCAGCAAGGUUUAUUCACUUAGCGUGCACCCUCCAUGCCAAGAACCACACCACGCGCCCCACGCACAUUUGCGGUCCUCACAAUGUGACGUGCCAGGAAACCUUCUCAUCCCCAUUCCCUGAUGAGGGAUCUGUGACUCAGGGAAACGAAGAACCAUUCCAAGGACCCCUGACAGGGUCCAAAGGCACCUGCAGACCCAGCAUUCAUCUUGCUCAGCCCAUCCCCAGGCAUCUCCCGGAGCCUUACGGUGCCCAGAUCCUGUUUAGGGGCAAGGGCUCCGGAAGAACGGGAGCCCAGGUCUCUACGGGAGAGUGGCAUCGACAGCUUCAGGUUGUGUGUCAUAAAAUCUGAGGAACUCAGCAGGGCAGGAGCUGGGGAAUAAGGGGAGUCAAUGUCAGGGAAGAGCAGGUGCAAAGGCCCUGAGGUGAACUCAAGUCUGUGUGUUUGAGGAACAACAGGAAGGCCACUAUGGCCAGCAGAGUGUGCCGGGGGACUAUGGCAGGAGAUGAGGGGAGGCAAAAGCAGGGGACAGACCUUGAAGGGCCUCCUGGCUGGGAAGCAGUUCCCUUUCUCUGACACAAUGUUUUUUGGGACCCUGUGCUGGUGGGUCAAACCACCAUGGGCCCUCAGACCACAGUGCUGGCUGAGGCUCCACAGGCAGGAAGGGCAAGCUCAGACCCAGAAUGUGUUCGUUCUGUGGGAAGGCAUUGCUGUCCUGUUCCUUGCAGUGGUACGUGGCCUCUGCCUGGGCCUCUGUGGCUGUGCCCUUCCUGAUCCACUCACAGGCCAGACCCGGCUCAGGACAGAUGCCGAUGGACACCAACUUGCUAAGGACUUUCCCUCCCAAGCUGUCCAGCGCCUCGUCCACGGUGGAUGCCCUGGUGGGCCUUAACGGGGGGUAGGAGGAUCUCCGCCCUGCUGCCCACUUCCAGCGUCUCUUCCAGAUCCCCUUGCCUCUGGUUUUCCAGUCUUCCUCCCCCUGGGCCCCCACCAGAGCAUCAGGCCAUUCCAGCCAUGAUUCCACACAUACGCUAAUGUCAGCAUUCGUCCGCUCCCCCACAGAGCAGAGAAGCAGGUGCUCCGUCAGGGGAGCUGGUCCACCUCGGGCCUCAUGCACACCCAGGCACGAUGGGGCUGGCUGCCUGGUCACAGUAUCUACCAGGGCUUCCGAAGUGUGGACAGCCCCCACUCAGAUGGCACAGCCUUGCUCCAGAACACUGUGGGGUCUGCAUGGUGAUUUUCCUACUGAGGCUUAUUACCCUCCCCCCACCCCUGUAUGGCCCACACAGCAGGCUGCCUGCACCCCAGAGGCCCCCAAGUCGAGUGAGGGGCUAGCCCUUGAUGCCCCACAUUGAUCAGUACGUCACUGGAGGGGGUGGACCCUGGAAGGCCACCCCAAGGAGCCUGCACCUGAGGGCUGUGGCCCCAGCACACCCAGAAGCCGGGGAGAAGCUGUUUCCCACAGGAUCCUCUGGCGGGGUGGCUCAGGGCACCCCCAGCUUAGGAGCCCAGAGCCAUGUGGAGUUGAGGGCAGUGCCUGGCAUGGGGCAGCGGCUCAAGGGGGCCCCCACUGGUCCUGCCUUGCUGUCCCCUGUGCAUGAGGGACGGCGGGUCGUCUCCAAGGUGAUAGGCUACAGUGCCCAGGCUUCCGUCCCUGAGCUUGUGUUGAAUCUCUCCCCCUCUCUCAUCACUCACUCUCCAGAGGCCAUGUGGUAACAGUGAAGCUUCCUGCCCACAGCCUCGUGAACAAGCUUGGAAAACCCCACUCGGGUCACCAGAGGUGGCAGCCCCGACCCACAGCUCGACCUCUGCAGAGGCCCCAAGCCAGGCCCCCAGCGGCUCCCAGACCCCCACCCCUUGGGAGCGGUAAGAUGGUAACGUCUACAGUUGUGAGUUGCUACAUCUGGGGCUGUUUGUUAUGCAGCCACGGAUAACCGAUACAGCUGGAAAGGACGGCCUUCUCUGCUCCUCUUCCACCUUCCAAAGUGCAUGUGAAUGUCCUGGAGUUCAGUCCUGCCUCGAGCUACACAGGGAAGGGAAUUCUGGGAAUGCGCCGUGACACAACCCAAACCACCACAAUUCUACUUAUCAAAUCCUCACCUUACAAGUGUCACCUGAGUCACCGGGAUUGUCAACUGGCUCACACCCCAGUCACCCUUUUGAACAGCCAAACAGAGGUGGCAGGGGCUGAAGAGGCCCCCAGAGGCUAGAGAGCUGUAAGCACAGUUUGCCCCCUUUCCCUCUGUGCGGGUGCCCGACAGGUGCCGCCCCUCCCCUUCAUCUGAGAGGUCUCCCGCCAGAGGCCCAGGCUGCCUGGACUCAGGGACGAGUGCUUCCUGUUCCCCAGUGAUUGGCGCAGGGAAAUCCACACACCCUGAACCUGAGGGCCUUGACCUACUCCAGGCAGACCUGCAGGGUCUCCACACCUCUUUCCCCUAUCACCCCUAUCAGCUACAGAAAACCCUCCGGGUGCAGCCCUGUCUUGAGAGCCGGGGUCUGUCUCACAGCCCUACCUGGCAUGGCUCACACCCCACCUGGACUGGUCCCUUUGCCUGGACCAUACCGGUCCGGGUAGGAGGGGGAGGGGCCACCUCAGCCGGGGGGGGGCCAGCAGGGCCAGCAACUCCCAAGCCCUCUUCCCAUCAGCCACCGGCCCACAGCCACAAGAUACAACAUACAGCCACGAGCCUGCUCAGUCUCCCCCAGAACCAGUUUCUGCGGACAUUGCUUCUGUCUGCUGGCAGCACCGUCGUCCACGGCGUGGGCGGACUCUCUGGAUACUUCUACACACCCCUCGGCUCAGCCUGCUCUUCACAGCCCUGGCAGCCCCUGCUUUGUCCCUGUCACCUGAUGUGGCUUUCAAGUUGCGACAGCCAAAAGCCCUCUGCAAGCUCCCAUAGCCUGGGCCUCCUGGAAGCUUCCUGCCACUCUCAGUGAGGCUGAACUCGUGUCUACAUUGCUCUUAGGUCAAGCCUCAUUGGUUACAUCAUUCUCUGCCUGCUUGAAGGCUAAGAACUCAGAAUGCGCUGCUCUGAAACCCCUAUGCCCCCAAAUCUUACGCUGACUCAAUCAUGGCCGCCCUGAGCACCCUCCCGCAUUCCCCAGCCUCCUGACCAUCCUAUUCCUGAACUGUUUCUUCCGUGGGAUGGCCCCACAGUGCCCCUGCAAGCCACUACCCGAACCUUGGCUUUCUGUGACUGCAGGAUUCCACCAUGAGAGAUGUUCUGUCCUGCCCUGAGACCUGGACAGGUCCCCAGGGGCUGCUACCAAAGCCAGUUUGAGAGCUCUGACUGGCCGUGUUUGUGAGUCUUCUUUCUCUUCGAAGAACACCAAAGUUCUCUGUUGCCUAAGGAGACUCACACACUGUUUUGGGGGGCCCCCUCACCCAUGCCUUGGUAAGAGAGCUCAGAACAAGAAUCUGACUGAUAAACCACUCAUGGCACGCCGUGGCCCAUGGCCUGGCAAAAUACAGCACGAGGACACAACUCAAAGCAACAGCAACUGUUAAACUACUGUGUGUGAAAUUCCCAUGUUGUCUUUGUAAUACAAGGGGCAGGGCUGAGUGGGACGGGAGAUCCUGCAGUAAAAUCCUGCUCUCUCCC